CCUCCAACCUUCCAGUUGAGACACAACCGACUCUAGCACUGAGCCACAGCUGCAUGGAUGGGCUUCCAAUCAGCCCUUCAAAAACCAAUGGGGGAUGUCGCCCCUUUUUUAAAUACAGUCUAUGAUCAUAACUCAGCUGUCCUCUGAAGUGACGAGUGUGCGUGAAAGGGUUAAAGCGGUCUUCUCAGUUUGCAUCAUCCAAAUGCGUCACAAAUCAUAUGGAUCUGCAUGGAACAGCAGACCACUAGACCUAAUGUAUAAACCCCUCCAGUGUUAAUGACACAUCAUCGUAUACAUCAUGAGGGAGCACUUGGCUGUGUUUGAGUGGACACUUCAUGUUUUAUACUGAGAUGCUCUCCCGGCGGCCGAGACCCUCCAGCCCACUUCCACUAUGAAUAAUACUAUGAUAUUUUUGUUACCCCCCGUCCUACUCUGGAUCAGCUCAUAAGGCCUGAGAGCGUACCUAUAGGAGGUGUCUCCACAGCAUACUCAGCCAAUCAAACUAUGGCGCACAUCUCUGUGUUGCCAAGAAGACUAGUCGCCAUAGCAACCUCCUAUACCCCCCUGUCUUUACCAUGAGACAAUAUGAGGCAGACUGGAUGGAUCAGAGACAUUCACAGCUGAAAAUAAAAAAAACAAGAUACUCCAUUGUAAACUAAUAAAGAGUGAAAAGAAGAGAGUAGAUUAAUGCUGACGUCAUUUUGAUCAUCUUAUUUUAGAUUAAGAAAAGCAUAAAAUGUAAUAUUACUGAGUCUAUAAAUCCCUUCGAGCAGAUGCUCUUCUUUAGCCUGUAACGGGCAAUAUUCACAAACAAACACAGGUGGGACUGAUUAUACAUGUAAAGAGUUGGUCAUGCCCGUGUCAUUUGUUUUAUGUUGGUAAAACUAUUUAACAUGCGAUGUUGAAGUGCUGGCUUCUCUGACAACAAUGUCCUCCUUCUAACUUUAGAUUCUGCUCCUGAAUGCUCUGGAUUUGUUUGGACCAGAGAAGGUAGGCGCUUUUAAGACGCCCCCACACGGCCGUUUUGGACGCCCCUCGGUUUGUCAGAUAUGAGAGCAGUUAUCAGGUCAACAGGUGUUGCAGCGAUGGAAGCGGGCAAGAGAAGUGGUUCAGAUAGAAGUGAUUGUACCCGACCUAAAAAGCCUCUGCAUGUUUCUAAUAAGCUCCACGAGCAGAAACGUGCUCAAACUAGGAUCAAUAUUGGAGAUGCUUUUGAAAAAUGGAGAGAGGUUAGAACACAGAAAGGUUUACAGACCCAUGCAGAGCUGGAUAAACACUGAAGCUACAGUGUCCACCACAUGGCAACUUCGACUCUGGGGAGGAGGGGGGGGGGACAGCUCUCUACAAUGUUUAGAAUCUGGACUGCAGUACCCAUUUGAAACACUAGGUGUCAGAGUUACAUACUGCUCCUUUAAGACUCAGAUGUACGAUAGUAAAUCCUCUAUAUUCAUCAGUGCAGACAAUUCACCAGUCAUGAUCACAGCGACUCACAUUACAUGAGCAUAGAAGUAUUUAAUAUAGCUCUCAGAGGUGGAGACCACAAUCCUUCUGCAGAGAGAGACGUACUGGAUCCAUUGUCCAGGGACCCUCUUUGCCAAGAACUUUCAUUUAAUAGUUUUUUUUAACUGUUUGGUUUUGUUGUCCCUUUUUCUUAUGUAAAAUUGAUGCUGCUUGUUUACUACCUCUGUGAUAUAAAAAAAGGUGGAGUGUGGUCGAGACUUCCUCUGCGUCACUCAGAUUGAGAGGUACCUGUACUUUGGAUGUGUAUGUAUUAUAAAUCCCACCUGUGUAAGUUUGUGAAUACUGCCUGUAACACACUGAAGAAGAACGUCUGCUUGAAAAACGUCGGGCAAUUAAAAGUACAAUUUGGA